CGGCAACAGCUCAAAUUUGAAAUCUGGCCUCUUCGGGGUCCGAGUUGUAAUUUGUAGAGGAUGUUUCGGGCACGGUCCGGGCUUAAAUUUCUUGGAACAGAAUGUCAGAGAGGGUGAGAAUCCCGUCUGGAGUCUGCGACACGGCCUAUGUGAAACUCCCUCGAC
rnacentral:rRNA from 1 species